rnacentral:piRNA from 1 species
UCUCAAUUAGGAAAGCUGUUUCCAGA